rnacentral:lncRNA from 1 species
UGCCAAUAUGAUAGUGUAACUGUUCAGUAGCAUGUUGGCUAGCAUAAUACCUAAGGUAGCAACAAUAUGACAUCAAAGCAAAACUUAACGUUGGCAAAUGGAUACCCUUCUCCUACCCGUGGUGUUGGAAGAGGCUGUAUUGGGAGGAGGAGGCAUUAUUAACACCCUGGAAAGGUGUUUGUGGUGCACUCACUUUUUUGGAGCGAUAAAUGAAUGUAUCAUAUUUAAGCUUGAUUAAAAGCAAUCCGUUACAAGCCAAAAAUACAGAUUGAGGCCUUCAAUCAAGCUGAGGACAGAGAAAUAUGUGUGUAGCAGGUCAAAGCUUCUCGUGUGCAUGGCUUUGAGAUUGCAUGAUUUCAACAAGCUUUAGACGAAGGACUUCCACAGGGCCGCCAUCUCCAAAGUUCACUCAAAAAUGCAACAGUUGUGUACUUGGUUUGUUUUGUAUUUUGUUGUUUGAAUAAUUUUUUUCAACUCCAAUUGGUCGAAAGCUAAUGCUCAGUUAUCACUUGGCCCAUGUACAUUUUUGUAACGGCUGUCGUCGGAAUGAGACCAAAGCGCAGCAUGGAAAGUGUUCAUGAUGUCUUAUUUUCACCAAAAAACACGCAAACAAAAAUGAAACGAAAGCGCACAGUUCUGUCAGGUACAGAAUACGAAACAGAAAACAACUAACCACAGAACACAGGUGGGAAAAGGCUGCCUAAGUAUGAUUCCCAAUCAGAGACAACGAUAGACAGCUGCCUCUGAUUAGGAACCACACUCGCUAAAAACAAAGAAAUAGACAACAUAGAAUGCCCACCCCACAUCACACCCUGACCUAACCAAAUAGAGAAAUAAAACAGCUCUCUAAGGUCAGGGCGUGACAAUUUUGUAGUUCCCCC